GCUGCUUAUCGGCGCAAGUCACCAGAUGACGCGCGACCUGGUGGUUGUUUAAGCACACCGCAGCUAGUUCUGGACGGUCCCACUCCUUAAUGCUUCAGUCACACGCAGGAUUCUCACAAAAAUGAGGCCCUGCACUUCUCGCACACCUA